rnacentral:rRNA from 1 species
AGUGAACGCUGGCGGUAGGCCUAACACAUGCAAGUCGAACGGCAGCACAGUAAGAGCUUGCUCUUACGGGUGGCGAGUGGCGGACGGGUGAGGAAUACAUCGGAAUCUACUUUUUCGUGGGGGAUAACGUAGGGAAACUUACGCUAAUACCGCAUACGACCUACGGGUGAAAGCAGGGGAUCUUCGGACCUUGCGCGAUUGAAUGAGCCGAUGUCGGAUUAGCUAGUUGGCGGGGUAAAGGCCCACCAAGGCGACGAUCCGUAGCUGGUCUGAGAGGAUGAUCAGCCACACUGGAACUGAGACACGGUCCAGACUCCUACGGGAGGCAGCAGUGGGGAAUAUUGGACAAUGGGAGCAAGCCUGAUCCAGCCAUACCGCGUGGGUGAAGAAGGCCUUCGGGUUGUAAAGCGCUUUUGUUGGGAAAGAAAAGCAGCAGGUUAAUACCCCGCUGUUCUGACGGUACCCAAAGAAUAAGCACCGGCUAACUUCGUG